UCCCUGGUGGCUCAGACGGUAAAGAACCUGCUUGCAGUGCAGGAGACCCAGGUUCAAUACCUGGGUGAGGAA
rfam:TPA: Bos taurus chromosome 26, whole genome shotgun sequence.